GACGAACGCUGGCGGCGUGCCUAAUACAUGCAAGUCGAACGCAGUGGGGACGGGUGAGUAACACGUGGGUAACCUCCCAUCAGAGGGGAUAACACUUGGCAACAGGUGCUAAACCGAUACUGAUGGAUGGACCCGCGGUUCAUUAGCUAGUUGGUGCGGUAACGGCUCACCAAGGCCACGAUGCAUAGCGGACCUGAGAGGAUGAUCAGUCAAAUUGGAACUGAGACACGGUCCAAACUACUACGGGAGGCAGCAGUAGGGAAUCUUCGGCAAUGGACGAAAGUCUGACCGAGCAACGCCGCGUGAGUGAAGAAGGUUUUCGGAUCGUAAAACUCUGUUGUUAGAGAAGCGGUAUCUAACCAGAAAGCCACGGCUAACUACGUGCCAGCCGCCGCGGUAAUAC
rnacentral:rRNA from 1 species